rnacentral:lncRNA from 1 species
CUAAAAUAUUACAUGAUAUUUUUCCUUCCCUAAUCUUUCAUUGGCUAUUAGCAACCACAUCAGGGAAACAAUCCAUCAAAAAUUUCCAAAACCUUGAGCCCAUAUGAGCCAGGUUUUCUACAUCCACCAAACCCUUUGGUGUAUAUUUUGAUUUGAAAAAGCGGGCCCACAACAAAUCAACAGUAAGCACUUUCCAAGCAAAUUUCAUGUGGAGAGACUUUUGAAUUUCUUCAAACCUACAAAUCCCAAGGCCUCCCUCCAUUAGUGGUGUACAAAUUUUCUUCCAUGAGCACCAUUUUUCCUAUUUCUUCCAUUAAUCUCUCCCCAAAGAAAGAGGAUAAUAUGGAAUUUAAGGUCGUAAAAACUGAUUUAGGAACACUUAGAACGGAUAAUAAAUGGGUUGCUAUACAUGAUAAAACAUGUCUCAAUAACACAAGACGACCUCCUUGUGAUAAAAGUUGUCUUUUCCAACCUGCAAUCUUUUUUUUUUUUUUUUGAAUUUUCUCCACUAAAAGCUGUAGAUGACGAGCAGUCAAUCUUUCUAUCACCACUGGUACCCCAAAUAAGUUAUUGGAAAAAAGCCCUCUCUGAAAGAACUUAACCGAAGAACCUCGUUCUUGCGAGAUGCCCCAUAAUGUUUAGCAAAGAAAAUAGCUAACUUCUCUUUAUUAAUAACAUGGCCUAUCCAUUUUUCAUAUAAUUGAAAGGUCUCCAUUAAAGCUUUUAUCGAUCUUUUACUUCCAUUAGCAAAGUUUACAAUAUCAUUAGCAUAUAGCAAAUGCGAAUCGAAUGUGCACCUCAGGGAUGUGAAUAAACAUCUAUGCAGCCAUCUACGAAUUUUUUUUCUCACUAGCCUAGUCAACACAUCUUCCUUGAUAAUAAAUAAAUAUGGGGAUAUAGGAUCACCUUGGCUCAGGUAAUAUUAGGAUUCGGUAUCUUUUAUGGUUUUCUUUUUCAAUUCCUAGAUCAACUGGAAAAUUAAGUGAUAGAUGUCAAUGUCAUGAUGAGAUUGUAUAGAUGAGCUAGAUUUAACCAAGAUGAAUGUUUGUUCAAAAUGUCAAUAUAGUUAUGUUCUCACUUUCUAUUAUCCUAUUUUAUUAUGCUAUGUUAGCUUUUACCAAAGAGAAGAGUUGAGCAGCGUUUGACUUGGGUAUCCUCCUUAGACAUAUUUUUCAACUGAAUUAGUACUUAUCUCAUUGUUGCUGACUCUACAUAUGAUAAUUUCAACUGAGAGGGUCAACCAAUCAACUGACAGAAUCAAGGAAAGUCGACGUGCUACACUGGAGACAGAAGAGCUCGAAGUGUCAAUGCUUGAAGAUUUGCAAUAGCAACGUGAAACGCUCUUGCAUUCCCAUAAGAAGGCAUGUGUCACUUUCCAAGAGUUCCUAGCCCCCAUUUCGCCUCCAUCUUUUGAAAUGAAAAUUGUAUUUUUCAACAGAAAAUGUAACGAUAGAUGUAAACUUACAUCUUCUUUCAUCCAUGAGAGGCAAAAAGUGGAUUUAGAUCUUCCAAUUUGAGCAAAAUUUGAAUUUAGAUACAUUGGAAUGUAAAUGAGGAUGCAAAAGUGAUUUUAAAUAUAUCAAUUUACACCCAAUUUUACAUUACAAUUGGAGAUGCUCCAAUCUACUUAUUAAAUAGAUCCUUCUAUACACUGGUGGAUCCAGGCACAGGCUUGACCAUGCUAUAACCCAUGUCCACCCCUGAAAAUGUCCACUUUUUUCUUAGUUUUUUUAAAGAAAAAUCCAUGUAUAUCUGUAUUGUAGCUUGCGUCCAAACUCAAUGCUAGAUCCGUGAUAAGUGUAUUUUAUACACUUAUUCGAUACCUUAAAUAACAAUAUUUGAUGGUUCUUUUGACAAAUUAUAUCCUAAAUUUUUGUCUUUCAUGUUUAAUAGGUGAAAUUUUAUGAAGGAAAAUGAAUUGAAGGAAUGAAGCAAAAAAGGGCGAAACACAAAAGUUUGGGACCAAGUUGUAAUAAUUCAAUAGUUGAUCCGGACCAUGAAUUGAAGAUUGAAAUAUUUGGAGGUCAAAUUGAAUAUUUUGGAAGGUGAAGGACUUGAAUUGAACCAAACAAUACAUGGGUUGCAAGAAUAAAAGGGAUGAAGGACUAAAAUUUAUUAUAUUAAAAGAUUGAGGACUUGAGGGCUAAUAUUGCAAUAAAGCCUUUGAAUUGUAGUCAAAUAUGGUGGUUGUGGAGUUGUUAUAUAUAUAUAUAUAUAUAUAUAUAUAUAUAUAUAUAUAUAUAUAUGUAUGCGUACAUGCAGAAAAAAGGGGAAGAGAGUUGGCUGGGAAAAAUUGGGAAUCACCUUGGAGUCAAACAUUGCGGCUCUAAUAUAUAUAUUCAUAUCAUGCACAUAAAACGAGAGUUUUAGGGUAGAGACAACCAAUGUAUUAAUUCUCACACACUUUCUGCCAAAAUAAAACACGUAUAGAAUUUGAGGGUUGGCAGUGUCGAAAAUUAAUUGGCAGCAACUUUAAGGGCAAUCAAAUUGCAGCAGAUUUGGGAUUGAUUUAAAGCGAAAAUCGAAGCAGAAUAUAACAGAGAAAUAGAUACAGAAAAAGGGUUGUAGGUUGACUUCUUGAUUUGCAAGUUAUAUAUUCACGCCAACAAAAUCAGAAAGAGACGGCAACACGUAAAAAUGGCAGAUUAUUCACGUUCCGUCAAUAAAUCGGGUGAUGUCUUCCAUGAUAAUAUCUUGUUUUUCUCCCAUUAAUAUGUGUAGCUAAAUUUAUUUUUAGGGCUCACGAUGUAACUGAUUUGGGACCUUUAUUUCUUUUAUUUGAGAUUCUUGUUCUUUUAUAUUUUAUGUGUAGAUUUUAAUUAUGUUUUUAAUGCUUUUUUUUGGCCAAUUAUUCAAUAAUGUCGUGAACAAUAAUUACGUAGAGAUGCGGAUUCUUG